rnacentral:misc_RNA from 1 species
AACAUCGCGCACCUGCGGGAACCUGCGGAGGGAUCAUUACAGAGUUGCAAAACUCCCUAAACCAUUGUGAACGUUACCUAAACCGUUGCUUCGGCGGGCGGCCCGGGUCCUUCCCGGCGCCCAUCGGCCCUCGCGGGCGCCCGCCGGAGGUAAACCAAACUAUUGCAUUGUAUGGCCUCUCUGAGUCUCCUGUACUGAAUAAGUCAAAACUUUCAACAAUGGAUCUCAGAUCGGAAGAGC